CUACGUGCCAGCAGCCGCGGUAAUACGUAGGGUGCGAGCGUUAAUCGGAAUUACUGGGCGUAAAGCGGGCGCAGACGGUUACUUAAGCAGGAUGUGAAAUCCCCGGGCUCAACCUGGGAACUGCGUUCUGAACUGGGUGACUAGAGUGUGUCAGAGGGAGGUAGAAUUCCACGUGUAGCAGUGAAAUGCGUAGAGAUGUGGAGGAAUACCGAUGGCGAAGGCAGCCUCCUGGGAUAACACUGACGUUCAUGCCCGAAAGCGUGGGUAGCAAACAGGAUUAGAUACCCUGGUAGUCCACGCCCUAAACGAUGUCGAUUAACUGUUGGGCAGCAUGACUGCUUAGUAGCGAAGCUAACGCGUGAAAUCGACCGCCUGGGGAGUACGGUCGCAAGAUUAAAACUCAAAGGAAUUGACGGGGACCCGCACAAGCGGUGGAGCAUGUGGUUUAAUUCGAAGCAACGCGAAGAACCUUACCAGGUCUUGACAUCCCUCUGACCGCUCUAGAGAUAGAGUUUUC
rnacentral:rRNA from 1 species